rnacentral:lncRNA from 1 species
CUUUCAAAUGUGUUUGAAUCAAAAAUUUAUCAUUGUGCCUAUUUUGAACUUUUGACUUCAACUUGGAUGCCAUUAUUCAGAUUCUCCAUAAAGAUGCCCCAAUUUGGGAAAUUAAGGAUAAGGGGUAGUAAGCCUUCACAUUGAGGUGCACAUUUAAUUUUCCUUAACUUUUAUCAAGAAUACCUAGUGUAUGUGCUUGUCGAGAAUUUUCUCAUUUAUUAUCAUCCUUAACCACCUUUUCAUUUUUUGACUUAUAAUCACUCUCCUUUUCCUAGAUUGCUCAUGUGGGUUUUCAACCUAGCACACAUUUUUUGUUUUUUUUCUUUGAUUUUUACUUUUUACUUUCUUUAACACCGUCGACUUGGUGGCCUCAUUUGAUAGUAAGUAGAAGUCUUGUGUUGGUCAUUGUUGGAGUUGUUCUUCACAAUCAUAACAUAGUAUCAUUCACUUCUUGGUUGAUAGAUUAUCCAUUUUCUAUUAUUGGCAUGACUUAUAAGGCCAUGGGAAGCAACUCCGUACUGCCUCAUUUUUUGGCUUCUUGUAACUUUUCACUAGAAAAAUGGGAACACCCCAAAAAAAUGGCCCAACAUGGAUACAAGGAUUUAUCCUUCUAUUCAAAUUGUCCUGAAAUGAAAAAUUUGGAAGGACUUAGACAAUGAAUCAUCUCAAAAUAUGCCCUAGUUUGAAAGGUUUCCAUGUUUCUUUUACUUUAGAAGUCUUUAUUGUAUGCACAACUCUUUAAGAAUAAAUAUUAAAACAAUGAUCAUGCAAACUUGACAAGUGUUUGGAUUAUGUGUGGUGAUACGAUAAUGAUUAUAAAAUUUAAUUUUUGUUUAAGCUUUUGUAUAUGUGUUGUUUAAUUUGUAUGUGGUUGCGAGUGUUGAUAUGUUUAUGAUGAAUAUAAAAUGGAACUUGUGUUUGGGUUUUGAAUUUUGUUGAUGGUGGUGAUGGUGAUGAUGAGAACCCUAUAAGUUAACGCAUAAGGAACGAUUAUGAUCUCCAAUGUACCAAAUCACAAAUAGUUUUCACCUCUCCCCAUCAGAGAGAAAAUGAAGCUCCCAAAAAAAAUAAUGAUUUGGUUGAGGAAGCGCAUCAUACCAAAACUCUCUGAAAAUGUAUAUCAAAAAAGUAGAUCAGAGAACAUGGAUUCAGGUAUAACUUUGUAUCAUAGUUCUAUAUUAUGUAUGAGAAUCAUGAGAUUCAAGGUCCUAGGAUUGGUAUUUCACCAAUCAUUAGGAAAUAUAUGACAACUAGUAUCAAAUCUUUAGGUUCUGAAUUUUAUGGUUCUCCAUUAAAGAUGUUUUUACCAAAUUUUUUUAUAAACCCUAAUUUUUUAAAUUUGGGGAUUUUUAUGCUUCUGCUCUUGGUUAUGGGAAUAGUGUAUUUAUGAAUAAUGACGAUAACUUUUAUCCGCUUCCGCUUAUUUGAACUAUGAGUUGUUUGUAUUAUGAAUCCUUACAACAUGUGUUGAAGUAUAUAUUUAGAUUUGUGCAUGAACAUUGCAUUAACUUUUAUGACUCUAUUAUGCAAUAUGUAUAUUAUAGGUGCACUAGUGCCUUACUGUUGGACAUUGACUUUUUCACUUUAUAAUUUUGCAAUUGGCUGACGUAUAUCUAUAAGGUAUAUAUGAGUUAAGUUGUGAUUAUCACUUAUACAUAUACGAUAUGGAAUUCAUUGUCUUGUAUAUAUAUUAUGAAUUAAAAUAUACAUAUAAAAAUUGUAAUUGUUUCCAACUUGAGGUUGUUGUGAUGUUUGAAAUUACUUAUAAAAGUUAAUAUAUAUAUAUAAAAUGGUUACAAUACUUAAAGUUAUAUAUACAUUUACUAUGUUAGUGUGUGAAAGUGUAUAUACAUUGUACAUAUAUGUUUUAAGAUAUGCAUGAUCAUAUUCAAUUUGGAAUUUUUUAUAAUGAUUUGCAUAUAUCUUUUUAUGCUUUUCACUCUAGAUCAAUUUUUUAUUUUAUUAAGAUUACAUCCAUUUUUAUAUGUUGAUAUAUAUGCCAUAUAUCUUUUUUGAUUUGGAAUUAUAUUAUUGGAUUAGAUUUGUUAAUCAUAAAAGAUAUUAAAUCUGAAGGUUUUAAUUCCAAGAUCAUAAUUUAUUUUAUAAUGGACCUAUAUUGUUUUCCUUUUCUGUGGUAAUUAUUUUUGAAAUAAUUGGUGCAAUUGUUGUCAAAGUAACCUUUAUCGUGGAAAUUGAUAAAUAAUACAUAGAUGAGUAUGAGAUUAUUUAUGAGAAUUGUGUUUUGUCAAGUAAUAACAUACAUGUGAUGAUAAAUAAGUAACAAUUAUAAAGUUUUUUUCUUGUGAAUAAUAGUCGAUCCAAAGAAAGACUAUUGUUUGACAAAACUAAUUGUUAAUAUUUGAUCAUUACGUUGAGAGUACCACUUACAAAUUAUUUUCUCUGUCCGAAGACUAGAAAUUGAUGUUGUGCUAGGUAUCUUGUGACGAGUCUAUUAUGUGAACAUGUCUUGUUUUAUAUGUAUUACCUGAUUUGUUUGUUUAAAUGGUUGCAACACUUACGGUUUUUUGUAUUAGUUGGUAGCUGAUUGCAUUAUUAAGAGGUUGCUAUUGUUGAAACACUAUUUCCAUUUGAACACUGUGUCGUACUAUGUUUAGUCAUGUAUAAAAUGGUAAUAUAUUUUUAAUGGAAAAUUAAAAAGAACCAUCACUGGAAUUUGAAAAGCAGAUCUUUGUGAUGGAAAUUAUGCAAUGCUACCAACAGGCUAUAGUGUAUAUAUUAUAUAUAUGUGGAUAUAAAUAAUUCAUAUUUUGGAUUAAGUGUUGAAUCAAACUUAGUUAAAUGGUUUUAAUGAAAUUGUUUGACAUUUUAAGUGAACCUAUUAAAUAAGAAGUCGCCAAAGUGACAUCUUUUCUAUGAAUUGUUCAUAAUAAAUGUCAAAUACUAGUGUGAAUAAGUAUCUAUGCGAGUAUUAAUUGGCUCAAAUGAAGAUUAUUAUUUGGUCGAAUUAUAUACAUACAUAUGAUGGUAAACAUGUGACUAUUUUAAGGUUGAAAAUGUGAAUGAUAAAUUAGUCUAAAGAAAGAUUGAUUAUUUGACAUGCAUUAUGAUUAAUGUUUAACCCUAACAAACAAAUAUCAUUAGUGAUUGAUAUUAAAUAUCAAGCCAAAUGAAUGUUUGCAUUUUAUGUGACUAGUGAUCAGCCCAAAGGAAUAUUAUUAUUUGGCCCAAAUUACAAACAUACUUGUAGUAAUAAUAUGUAAUAAUCAUAUGCCUUUCCAUGUGAAUAAUAAGUCGAUCCAAAGAAUAGCUUAUUGUUUGAUAUGACUGAUUAACAAUGUUCGAUUACUAUAUUGAGCGUACCACUUAUAAGUUAAUAUUUUUAUCCAAAGACUAAAUAUUAAUGUUGUGUUAGGUAACUCAUGAUGUGCCCCACCAUCAUUUGAAUUUAGGUUUUAAAGUUGAAUGUGAGUUUAAUUGCAAGAAUGGUUGCAAGAAUGACUACAAUUUGUUUUGUUCUUUUACUAGUGCUACAAAUAUUUUUGUUCAAAUCGAGAAUAUCUCAUUGUUGAAUGGGACACACAUUAAGGUCUAUAAGGAAGCCGUGGAAAUUAUUCUCGGCUAUAUGGAUUUAGAUCUGGUACUUCAAGUGGAGGAAUCCAUUUCAACUCUGUAAAUCCUCGAUGAGGUUAAAAUUGAGAAAUUGGGAUUCUCUUAUCGUAUGUGUCUAAUGAUCAUGAAACAAUAUAUUCUAGAAGUGUUUCAGAAUUCUAUUUUUGAGGGUCAAAGUGCAAGGAAGUUCCUUCAAGAAAUAGAACCAUACUUUUGCAAAAAUGAGAAGGCGGAGACUAGUAGCUUUUUUGGGUGAAAUCAUCUCCAUGAAGUAUAAAAGCAUAUGGAACAUAAGGAAGUACAUUAUGGAGAUGCCUAAUCUUGCAUCAAAACUCAAGUCACUUAAGUUAGAGCUGGGUGAUGACUUGCUCGUGCACUUGGUUUUGAUCUCGCUUCCUGCACACUUUGGGACAUUCAAAGUGAGCUAUAACUCUCAAAAGAACAAAUGGUCUCUCAAUGAGUUUAUAUAUCAUUGUGUCCAAGAGAAAGAGAGGUUCUAGAGAGAUAAGACUGAAAGUGCUCAUUUGGCUAUGACCACUCAGAAUAAGACAAGAACGAACAAUAUGGAUGUUGUGAAAGAGUUAUUUGUGUUUUUCGUAAGAGAUUGUGGAUUUGUUCCGCAAUACACUAUGCCAGACAAACCUAAAAUAAAAGGUGUUGUUGGCCGAUGAAAAGAAACUCUUAAGGAUAUGGUGAGAAUUAUGCUUAGUCAUUCUUCCACACUAGAGUCUCUUUGGAGGGGAAAAACCGUUAAUAAGACCAAGCUUAAAACAUUACACAUUUGGGGUUGUUCAGCUGAGGACGGCCUUAUAGGCCACAAGAAAGGAAACUCGACUCAAGAACAGUUAGAUGUUAUUUUGUUGGCAAUGUUGAGCGCUCUCGAGGCUAUAAAUUUUACGAUCCUACUUCAAGAUGUUUUUUUUUUUGGGACGGGAAAUGCAAGAUUUCUUGAGGAAGUUGAUUUUGGGAAGGAAGAGAACAUAAGGAAUGUUAUCUUUGAGGAAGAACAUGUCACUUGUAGUGAACAAGUUCUUGUGUCUAUUACCAUUCAAGGAACCACUUUGGUAAUAGAAGAUAAUGUUUAGGAUAUUGUUCCUGACAAUAUUCUAGAACAAGACAACAAUGAGGUUCUCUCUCAAGUACCUAAAGAAAAAAUUCAACAACCUCAAGAAGUAGGGGUGCCAUUAAGUAGAUCCACAAGAGAGAGAGGAUGUGCAAUUCCUGAUGAAUAUAUUGUAUUUCUUCAAGAACAUGGGGAUGACAUCGGGAUAACAUAAGAUGAUCGAUUGAAAAAUUGUCAAGACAUGAAAACUUCUAACUCUCAAAAGUGGAUCAAUGUCAUGAAGAAUGAGAUGAAGUCUAUGCAUGAUAAUAAUGUUUGGGAUAUUGUCGAAUUAACUGAUGUUGCGAAACCUAUUGAUAGGACAAAUUGCAAGUGGACGGUUAUAUCGUCAUGUAAUAAAAUAUCGAUCCCACGAGGACUAGAAAAUACUUUAAUUAUAACAAUUAAUUUAUAUGUAACUCAAAGAAGAAUUAUAAGUGAAUUUAGAACAAUUGAACAUUUGACAAGAAUAAUAAUGAAAAUAUUAAAAAGGAUUGAAAUCUAAUUUAGGAAGAGUUCCUAGGAUAAGGGUUUACCCCUUUACACUCACAAAUCCUUCUUUUUCUCCUUUUAAUGAACUUUAAGUUGUGAGGUUGAAUUGCUCUUUGAUAUGUGUCAUCCUCUCUCGAGCACCUACUCUCAUGGUAUGAUUAUCAAUUGAAUCAUUUACUUGGAUCUUUCUAUCCAAUCGCUUCGUAGCAAUCCAAGGUGAAUUCCAGAAAACCUUGAGAAUCGUAAGACUACUCUCCUGAAUUAGGAUUCUAGAUUGAAUAACUGAGUGAUCGGAUAGUUGGGUUCACCUCUCGGUCCUUCCCCAAUGUAUCUAAGAGAUGUAAUUUGUUGGCUAGACAACUCACACUAAUAAAACUCAGUUUAAUGAUUCAAAUCCAACACUCAAUGGAAAAGAAGUAAGAACAGUGUUUAUUGAAUGUAAAAGGGUGUGGAUCCAAUCCUAGAAACAAAGGGAAUUACUCACUCAUAAUGGAGAAGAGAAUACAAAGUUCUAAAUUAGAGAAUUGUAAUGUAAAGUAUAAAGUGUAAAGUGUGCUUAAUCCUUGAGGGAGAACCCUCAUUUAUCCUCAUUAAAAAAUAUUGGGCUCAACCCAACAAAACAAAUCUAAAAAAUAGGAAUAGAAUAUAACAUUCACGACUUCUUUUGGCCCUUCAAUUGGUCUUCGCAUAGCCUCAAUACUGAAUUUCAUCUUCUUGCACCCAAUCUCUACUCUUUUUGGCUUCAUUCCAUCCAAAUUGCACAACAUAGCCAAAAACACAUACUCAACCUGAACAAAGAGAAUUAAAAGCUAGAAACAAUCCUAUAGUGUUAAUUAUGUCCUAAAAUGCAAUUCAAAUAUAGCAUAAUUUCACACGCAUCAAAUCCUCUCAAGCUUAUCUCUUGCUUAUCCUCAAGCAAGUAUUAUGUCUAUCUUUUACAAUCACGCAUGAAUGAUGAUAUAGAAACCAUGACCCAAAAUAAUUAGCAAUCUCAUGUUAGUUUUGAAACAAUCUAGACAUUAAGACAAAACAAUCAUAAACAAAUUUAAUUCAACCUAAGUCUUUGAGUCAUAACAACUGCAUGAAUUGGGUCACUCUCCUCUCAUUACUCUCAUGUGUUUAAAGGUCAGUAUUUCGCUCAAAUUUUCAUGAAAGUAAAUUACCAUAGGCUUGAUUAUAGACCAAAUCGCACUAGAUGUAUUUGAAUGCAUGCAAAAAUUAAGAGGUCUUUAAAUGGUUGUAAUGAGGUCAAGGUGAAUGAUUUAUGGUGAGAUAAACAAAGAAAAGGUACUUCAAAAGGCUUACAAAUUAUGUUAAGAAUUUUGGAAUGGUGCAUAGAAAUGUAUUACACCAUACUUAAUUAGAAAGGAACUUCGUAUUUUUUAUGACUUCGCUACUGUGUAACUAUCCAUUUAUUCAGCAUCUCAAUCAUUUCUAAAAAGGGAUGAUAAUAAAUCAACCUUGAACAGAGUGUAGGAAAGGCUUUCUUACAAUGCUUCUAUUGUGAGAAAGGAACUUUGUGCUCUUAGUACUCGGUAAUCAUCCUGAUGUUUUGCAAUUUAAUUAUGAAAACAUUUUGUUAUUUAAUCAUCGUGAUAUUGAUAAAUCAUUUUUAACGGGUGUGAAGAAAAUGUUUUGUUAUGAUACUUUUAUUGUGACCAUAGACCAUCAACCAUUACUUAUUAUCACUAUUCACUUUCCUUGUGAUUAAACUUUCUCUUGAUUUGCAUAUACAGAUGGAAACGAGUCGAACUGACUUGAACUAGAACUCAGCUCGAUAAGGAUCUGCUCAAUUUGAAACUGAACUCAAGUGUGAUAAGGGUUAUUUUUUAGCUCGGGUUUAACUCGUUUAAGUUCACGAAUUGCUCAACUCAACUUGAAUUGGUUCAUUUAUAUAACUCAAUUAAUAAAUAUAUUUUUAAAAAAAAUAUUGCAUAAGGUUAUAUAUAUAUAUAUAUAUAUAUCUAUAAGUAAUUUGUUCACCAAGUGAGAAUCAUUAAAGAUAUAAUUUUGUUCAAUUUUAAGAUUUGUCUAUGAUGGAUGUGAAGCCUAGGUUAUUUGUUUAGAAGAAUUUUGAUUGCCUAAAUGUUGGGGUGUAAUCAUUUUGAGGCUGAAAUAGACAAAUGGAAAGUCAUUAUACUAUAUAAUAUGAGAUGGGCAAGUCUCAUUUUCCAUAUUUUUCAAAGUUAUCAUCGAAAAGAUUAUAAAUGUAUCGAUACUAUUGUACAUGCUUUUUUUUACUUGGACUAUUCUUGAAAAAUAGACACCAUCUCGUGUACUUCUUAUUCUUAUAUUUAAAUGUAUAAAAUAUAAUGAGAUUUUGAUUUCUUCCAUCACAUUUUUCAUAUAACAAUUCAUAUCAACAUAACUAUUUCUUAAAUUUUGUUGCAUAAAAGUAUUUCAAUUAAAAAAAUAAAAUAAAAUAAAAUAAAAUAAAAACUUUGGAUUAUAAUAUGGGAUAUUAACUAUGAUACUUCCAAAUAAGAAACUAAAAAAAGCUCAAGGGCUUAGGAUCUGAGUUGUUGUCUUUGAUUCAUUUGGAGAAUUAAAAUAAUUUAGUUAAGAAGUGUGUGAAACUCUUAUUCUUUUAAGUACGAAGUAAAUGCAAUAUCAAUGAAUGCAAUAGGUAUAAUAUAUAAUAUAUAAUUAUAUUAGUUAAAUUACAUAAGAACAUAUAGAUUGAUGAAGGGCAUUGCAUGUAAAACUUUCAAGGUAGAUUUUUUUAUUAAUAAUAGUACAUAGGUAAAACUCUAGUUUUAUUAAUAUAUCGUGGCUCACUAUGAGCUCUUACAUGAUAGUAGAUAGCAGCUUAGUAAAGAGUGAUCUAAAUGGAAAAGAUAAGACCCCUUCUUCCACGCCUUCCCUCCUUCUCCCUUUGCUGUUGCUGCUGAGGUUGAGCAUUUGCAAAGUAAGAUUGUUGUUGGUUCUUAAUUAAUCUCUCAACAUCUUCAACAGAACCAGGGAAUGUAAGCUGCUUCACUUCUUUAUCUAACUGUCUUAUCACAUUGUCUUCAGAACCUUUCAAUUUUCAAUAAUUUCCAAACAUAACAAUAUGAGUUAGUAACGCCAAAACCAAAGUCAUAAAGCAAAUAUUAUAAUUUACAAUUAGGUAUUUGUGCCAAAAGUUUAAUUUGUUGCCACAUUGGCUUCGUCCAAAGAUAUAGUUGGUGAUUUGGCGAUCAAUUUUAUAACUGUGUAUCUACCUUUUAAAUAGCAUGUUUAGAUUAAAUUAAAAUAUAUUUAAUUAUAAACUUUGAAGUUGAAUAAUGUUUAUGGUACCUGCAAGGAAAUUCCUCUGGUUUUCAUCAGCAUUGAUGCCAAAUCCAAGCAAGCGAAGAUUUGAGGAAGCGUUGAUGGAAAUUGGAUGACCUGCUGGAAUUACGAAAAUGUCACCUUCUGAUAAUUUAGCAUUGUACCUUCUCACUUCUUCCUGUUCUUGCUCAUCUUGUUGUCGUUCUUGAUCUCUUAUACCCACCAGUUCAUAAUUUCCUUCUCCUUCAUCAACCACGACUACAAAUAUGGCCUUUGAGUUAUAGUGUGGUAACAACAAACCUCCCUAACAUAAAAAAAUCAAAUCAUUAGUAAUAGUAUUGUUGUCUAAGACACAACACCAGUGAAUAAGUUCAAGGAAUUGUGUGUAUUGUUAUUUGGGGUUGGAUGUAAAUAAUGUACCUCGUUAAUUUCUAUGAAGGUGAGAGAGAUAUCCAAAUCCUGAGCUUGAGGGUUUCUGUCUGGGGUGAUCUCGUAGAAGUUGCCAAACUUGUUUGAAUAAAUGGGUUCAUCGCUUCUCAAGUUGAAGGGGCCAGAUUCAGAUGGUUUGCCUUUUCCUGAUGAUGAUUGAGCAUGUUUUCUCAAUUCUUGGAUCUGUUCCUUUGACACUCUCACUAUCACCCCCUCAUCUUGGUGGCUCUGCUCUUGUCCACGACUUUGCUCCUCAUCUUCCUGCCCGUCCUCAUUUCCUAAAAUAAUCCUUUGUAUCUCUUCAUAACGGGUCUAUAUUUGAAAUCCAAACAAACAAAUAUGUGAUCAUUAGUACAUAUACUCAAUAAAUAAUUGUGCAACCAACGCAGAUCAGAUGUCAUACAUUGAAGGUGGCCUCUAAAGUGUUCCUACUGAAGCCGUUGAAGUAAGACUGUUGGUCUUUAGUACUUGAUGGAUAGAAAUCCUAUAAAUAUACAAAUAUAGAGAGAAAGGAGGAAGAAAUUAAAAUUACAUGGUGUUAAAUAUGCAAUGGGUGCAUAGAAAAUUAGAUGAUAUAAACAUAAAAGAUAAUAUGAUUGGAGAAAGAACAUUACAUAGAAGUUGCCAGGGUUGUUGAUGGGUAUUGCGAGCUUGACUACUCUAAGGUUCUGGUUGUCAUCCGGGUUAAGGAUAUAAGAAGUUGUUCCAGCUGGGAGUCUGAGAGCAUCUCCAUGCUCAAGGUUAUAUGCUUGUCUUUUAUCAGGGUUGACUAUCGUGAUUGUGGCUCUACCUGCAAUUCCAAAAUAAUGAAUGUAACAAAUCAUUCAUUCUCAUUAAUUAAUUGGCAGAAAUGAUUACUACUAGUAGUAAGUAAGGUUUUAAAUUUAGGUUAGCGACCUCAAUUUAAAUCCUUGAUAAUAGUUACCAUUGAGUACAACGAGGAUGUAGUCAGCAUCAGAGUGUUUAGGGAGAAUGAGAGUGUUAGGUUUUGAUUGGAACUCCACAAUGCGGUAGUUUUGGAGAUUCUCAAGUCUAUUGGUUCUCUGGUCAAACCUCUCAAGCACACGGAUUUGGCCAUUCCUAUUUCUGUAAAGAGUUUGGAAUCUUUCAGAGCUGAAGUAAUAAGGGUUCCUCUGUCUGCGUGAGUCUGAGCGAGAACCUUGCUCUUGCUCUUGUUCUCUCUCUUCCCUCUGUUCCCUCCUCUCAUAACCACUUUGCCUACGUGAGCUAGAGCUAGAGCCUUGCUCUUGCUCUCUCUCUUCCCUUCUACUUUGAGGUCGUUGUCUCCUCGGUUGCCACUCUUCUUCCUCCUCUCUCCUUCCAUGUUGAGGUUGUUGUUCUUGCUCCCUCCCUCUACUAGGUUCUCUCCUUUGUUCACGCUCUUCCUCUCGGCUUUCUUCGCUCUCGCUCCUACCACGUGAUGGCUCACGAUUACGCUCCUCCUCUCUCCCAUGCUCUCUUUCUUGCUCCUCCUGAUGGCGAGGGCGUGGUUGUUGUCUUGGGUCACGCUCCUCUUGUUCUCUUUCCUGAGGCCUCUCAUGAUUCUUUAUUGCAUUUUUUUCUCCGUAAGCAAUACCGAUUGACACUGCCAUGAGGAAUACUAUUCCUAGUAGCAACACUAACGUUGGAAACUUCACUCUCAUAUUAGCCAUAUUUUAUUAUAUUAGAUUGCACUCGAUGAUGNNNNNNNNNNNNNNNNNNNNNNNNNNNNNNNNNNNNNNNNNNNNNNNNNNNNNNNNNNNNNNNNNNNNNNNNNNNNNNNNNNNNNNNNNNNNNNNNNNNNUAUAUAAUUAAAAAUAAAUUGUUGCAUAAAUAACGUACAAUACUAGUGUACGAAUAAUGAUAUUUGUUGAGCUGUUAAGGUUAUACCAAUACCUUACAUAUAAGAUUCAGUUAUAUAUGAUUGUCAAUCACGUGGUUACUAGGUGUGAAUUAAAGAUCCGAUUAAACAAGAUUUGGUCAUAUAUGAUCAUUGAUUACUAGAAUUUCUAACUUAACUGUGUGAAAGAACGAUAUUGGAAGAACUAUUUCUAAAUAUUUGUAUGAUACAAAUUAGAUAAAAUAGCAAAUAAUCUAUAUAAUGAAUGAUACACAUACUUCAGUGGGACAAAGGGGGGAGUAAACUUUACACUAACAACUCAAGGGUACAGAGAAUUUUAAUUUAGUGAUCAAGUAUUAAAUUAUAGCUGUGAUGAUAAGUUAUAUAUACUAAUUUUUUUAUAUAUUUACUUCCAACUUAUUGAAACUUGAGAAGUAUGCUUACAUUUAGAGAUGUAUAGUUAUUAGUCAUAAGUGUCAUCAAAUCGGUCAGAGUAAUAGUAUAGUGGUAUAGUGGUUCAACCGAUGGUUCAUUAAUUAAUUUUAUGUCGGUUAAAUCCGACAUACAUGCUUAUCUAUACAAUCUUUAAUAAAAAAAUUAACUAGGUAAAUACUCAAAUUUAAAAUUCAUGUUCUUAGUCUACUAAGAAUACCCAUAGAUAAACAAUUUUAACAAACAAAGUCUGGCCCAUCUUCCAUUGAUGCAAAUCAACUAAUUGAACAAAUAAAAGAACUAAGUAAGGAAGACGCACUUUACAAUAACAAUUAAAAAUCCUAACAUGUAAGGUAAGAAGAAAGAGAGAGAUGAUUUAAGGCGGGAGAUGAUAUAAACACACACCUUAAUGGGCAAUGACUUCAACUCUACAAAGAAUUGGAUGGAACGAAGAUGAUAGGUCGGUGGAAGGGACUGGACAAAGAUGAUACCUCGGGGAAGCCUGGAACUAUAAAAGAAAUGAAGAAGGGUUGAAGAAGUGUGAACAGUGGAAGGAGAAAAAUCGAAUAAGGGUAGAAGAAUUGUGAACCGUGUAGCCUAGAACUUUUUUGAAAACCCUACUUCCCUAAAACGACGCCAUUUAUGGUUAUUUUUUAAGAAUAAAAUACAUGUAUAAACCGGCUAAUUUAGUCAAAUUUCGCCUGGUUCACCAGUUUUGACCAAAUUCGGUCGGUUUUCACUGGUUUUGAUACUUGGUUAGUAUCAUAACCAUACUGUAUCGGUUAGGGGUUCGGUUCACCGGUUCUUCGAUUGACAUGGACGGUACGGUUUUUACGUUAUGGUUUGUUAAUGAGAUGGGGAAUAAGUAUUUUAACAAUCAAAAAUCAAAAUUAUAAAAGGUAAAUAAUUAAGUUUAUUUCCUAAUAUUUGGUGUAUCUUUCAAUAAUUAUAUUAAAUUCGUUUUCGUACUAACUUAAGUGAAGAAAAAAAUUAAGUAAGAGAAAACUGGUGAUUAUUUAUAAAUGUUAGGGUUGCAAUUUGUUCACCAAGUAAUAAUCAUUAAAGAUAUAAUGUUGUAUUUGUGGAUGAUGGUUGUUAAAGUCUAGGUUAUUUUAUAGAAAUUUUUUAUUGCCUAAACGUUGGGGUGUAAUCAUUUUUAGGCUGAAAUAGACAAAUGGAAUGUCAUAUUACUAUAUGAGAUGCUCAAGUUUUAUUUUCCAUGUUUUUUUUAAAAUUAUCAUAUGAAAGAUUAUAAAAAAUAUUGAUAUAUUUUUGUACGUUUUAUAUUGACAAUGCUUUUUUAUUUGGGUUAUUCUAGAUAGAAGGUGUUUGUCUAAUAUUGUAAAGCCUCAUUAGAUCCUCAAGAUGACUAAAACGUCAAUGGUUCGAUUUAUGUAAGCGACAUUUGUUGGCAGGGGCAGUCAUACACCCCAAAAGAGAUUAGUUUCUUACCCAAGGGUGAAGGGAUACCGUUUUUUGUACCCAAAAAAAUAAACAUUGUCUUGUGGACAUCUUACUCUUAUUUAUAAAUGUAUAAUAUAUAAUUACAUUUUCAGUUCUUCCAUAUCAUAAAUAUUUCAUAAAACAAUUCAUAUCAACAUAAUUAUUUCUUAAAUUCUUUUGCUUAAUAUUUUUUACCAUUGUGAUCUAGUGUUAAUCUUUUAUAAUUUUUCAAAUUUAUUUAAUAAAUGCAUAGACACAUUUUCUUAAUAUAUAUGAUAGUGAAUUAAAAAAUCAAAUAAAAUUAAAUAAAACCUUUAGAUGAUAAUAUGAGAUAUUAACUAUGAUACUUCUACACAAGAAACUGAAAAAAGCUCAAGGGCUUAUGAUCUGAGUUAUUGUCUUGGAUUCAUUUUGAGAAUUAAAAUAAUUUAGUUGAGAAUUGUGUGAAACUCUUAUUUUUUAAGUGAGAAGUAAAUGCAAUAUCAAUGAAGGAGUGCAAUAAAAUAAAAGAGAAGAAGAUAAAAUAAUUUAUUAAUAGGGUUCUGAUCAAUUUUGUAUACGUGCCUAGAAGCGUACAGUAGUUAUCAAUAUGUAUUUUUAGAGAAUAAGAAUUAUAAGUUCUAACAAAUUCAUGGGUAUAAAACUCAUAUGGUGUUUCUAAUUUGUGCAAGUUAUAAUAAGUAUCUUGAGCCUAAUAUUUAACAUUGUUUUUCUCAUUCUUCCAAUACUAGGCAAUGUUUUACUUAUUAUAAUAAUAUAUUUCAAGCAAUCUUCACCUUAGUGAAUAUUUUAUUCCUUAAUAAAUAUACGCAACAAUCACCACCUUAGUGAAUAUCCAACUCCAUAUUACGCAAUGACUAACUCUUUUUAUGAGCUCCUCCAUUGGACUUCUUCCACAUGUGAGAAUGCUCAUCUUCAACAUAAGUCGAGUAUCCUUUAUGAUAUUACCAAGAUUUAAGUUGUCCCAACUCAAAUUUUGAUGGAGAACCAAUUUCACGACUUCGGAGUAUGGGGAAAUAGAUUCCUUUUCUACAAAAUGAUUUGGAGUUGUCACUACAUUUUUUUUAUCAGAAUAUAAAUUUUUUCUUUAUACCCAAAUAGAAAACAAAUAUGAUUAUUGAACUAAAGUUCAAAGCUUGGGAGUCAAUUACAGGUCGGGAAAGGUAUUCACACCUCAUCUGAUCGUAUUAAAACAAUACCCACGCUAACUAGAUGGAUCCUUAUGCCCUCGAUUUAUUUUUUAAAAUAUUAAUUACUAAAGAAAAGUAGUAUUUUUUUUUUACCUACGAAGAGCUUAUUUGCUUUAAUGCAUCCUCAUGUUGUAAUAUGAAAAUCAAGACAACAUAGUUCAUGGCUGAAAAUUGAUCAAUGGAUUUGUAUAAAUUUUAUUAAAGAACUAAUAUAAAAUUAAAGGAGGUCAAUAGCAUAAGAGAUUGUAUUAGUUGUGAACCGACAUCUCAAUUUGAGAGGUAACAUAGAUAGUAUUGAUAACCGCAAUUGUUUCUCUACAUAUAUAAGAAAUUAAGAUACCACAUGAAUAUCAAACUCAUUAUUAGAUUCCAAAAACGGUUUAUCGAUUUUCAUAUAAAAAACUCACAACCACACAAAUUUCUUAUCAUAACAAUGGUGAUUUUAAGUUGUUUUACUAUAUACUAUAUAUUUCCAUUAACAAUAUACAAAUCCUCAUUCCAUUUUCCAUUAUAUAAUUAACAUAACUAAGUUAAUUAACAUGGUCAAGUUCCUUAUGCAUACUCAAGUCCUUGCAGCUUUCUUCGCUGUCAUUCUACUUCUAGCACAUAUUGAGAUGUGUCCUAUAUUAAGUAUUAAUAUAGAAGCAUAAAUCAAACCCAAAACCAUGAAUAGUUGGUUAUCUCAGAAUAAUUGUUUAACAUCAGCAUCAAGGUAUGACACACCGACAUGGUGGUUGUCUUUUAAAUAGGAAAAGUCUCUUGUCUCCGUCUAACAUCAGCAUCAAGCAUGCUACCAAAUUCCAAUAUAGGGAUUUAUAUUUUGAAGAAUAAUUAUUAUCAUUGAUAUAUUAUACCUUAUUUUUUAUUAUAUUUUUUAAUGUCUAGGUAAAAUGAUCGAAGUGGUUGAGAACCUGGAUACUAUCAUUCAUGAAGUAGUAAUCACUGAUGAUGAGGACUAUGUGGAGGAAAUAGAUGAGAGUGAAAGUGAGAGUGAGGAAGUGAAUGAAAGUGAAGGUUUGGAUAGUGUAAAUGACAACGAUGGAUUUAAUAACUAUGAUGAAAAACUAGAUUUUUGUGUGGGGGUUCAUUCAGAUGAUGAUUUAGUUGAAAUUUAUGUUGAGAGAAAGGUGGUUGGAGAACAAUUUAAACUCCAAUCUAAUGGUAAGGUGAAACUUCAAAUCAAUAUGUUACUAUUGUUAGAGAAACUUCAAACCAAUAUGUUCAUAAACGACUUACCGGCUUGAGAUACUAUUGUUAGAGAAACAAAUCCUGGGAGUAAAGUGACGAUGGAGUUUGCAAGGGUCACAAUUGAUAGGAACCCACAAUUUAAACGAUUAUUUGUAUGUCUUGGUGCAAGGAAAAAAAGAUUUGUUAGAGGUUGUAAGCCUUGGUUUAGAAUUGAUGGAUGCCAUUUAAAAGGUCCUUAUGGAGGAAUUUUACUUGUUACAGUUGCCCUUGAUGGAAAUAAGGGUAUAUUUUUUAUUGCAAUUGUUGUGGUAGAGGUGGAGUGUAAGGAUUCAUGGAGGUUUUUUCUAACCUUAUUAACUGAAACUUUGCACACUCUACCAAAAUGGAAGGAGGAUAAACUAACCAUUAUGUCAUAUACACAAAAGGUUAGUGUGUUUAAAUUAUAUAUCUCCCUAUAGUGAAUAGAUAAUGUCUCUCUAAUUAUUGCUAUUCUACUUAAUUUUUGUAUAAAAAGAACAUGUUGUGAGAAAUGAAGUAAUUCAGGAUAGGAUGUUAUAUGUUUUUUUUUAUAUUUUGGUUUAAGUUAGAGAUAUUAAAUGAUUCUUUAUUUGAAUUCCAGUGCUUAAAAGAUGCAGUUAGUGAGAUAUUUCCAAAUGCAGAACAUAGGUAAAUGAUUAAUUAUAAUCUUGUAUUGUUAAUAUUUUAAAAUACUUUAUUAAUCACUACUUGUUUUUGUUAAUAGGUUUUGUUGCAACCACUUGUUGAAUAACUUCAAGCUUCGAUUCAGGUCUUUAAUACUAACAACAGAGUUUUGGGCGGUUGCAAUGGCUUAAAAUGAAACCAUGUUUAAUAAAGCUAUUACUACUAUGAGAAAAAUCAACAAUGAUGAUGUAGAAUGGUUGCUAGAUUCUGAUAGGCCUAAAAUUAUGUGGGCAAGGCAUACAAUUGAUCCAAUCUGUAAAAGUGAUCAUGUGACCAACAUUGUGUGUGAAGUGUUUAAUGCAUGGAUUGUAGAUGAUAGAAAAAAGACUAUGUUGUCUAUGAUGGAGUCUAUUGUGUGUAGAUUAAUGGGAACAUUUGAAAGAAGGUUUGCAAAGAGUUGUGGUUUUGAGCACAACAUAACUCCUAACAUUCGGAAGGUUUUAAACACUAACAUGCAAGAUGGGAGGUUCUGUACAAUGACUUAGUUUACUUAGUUUGCCAUGUUUUACUUCUAUGUAUCUACUUAGUGUUUACCAUGGAGUGCUGGUUAUAUAGUUAUGGAACAUUUAAUUUCUAUAUGUGUAUGUUAAUUUUACAUGCUUAGUUAGUGUAUAUAAUGAUGCGGUAAUUAUUAAUAUUUUUUUAUUGUUCGUUUUUAUUUUAUUAUUUCAAGCAAAUGAUGAUGCAAGUAUAUCUGAUAUACCUUUGAGUGCAAGAGAAUCAUAUGGUGCCAACAACAUUUAGGAUAUUUUUUAUGUAUUUUGUUUUUAAAAUUUCAUAUGAGACUACUUUUAGUUUUUUUUUCUCCAGAUUUUAUGGUGUAUUUGGAUUUAUAAUGAAACAUGAACCGUAACUCUUUCAACUUUGUUAUGUUAUUUUAGUUAUUUGCAAUGAAAUUUUAUUAUUGCUAACAACAUUUGGAUUUAGUAUUGUAAGUUUAAAUAAUUAUUAUAAAUUAAUGAGAUUAAAGUUAUAAAAAUUAUGAAAUGAAAUUGAGGUUAAAAUCCUCUAGAAACAUAUAAUAGUUACCUUCCUGCAGGUUUCCAUAUAUAAUUUCGAGUAGUGAAGAUUGAAAAUCUCCACAAUUAAACGAUCUUAAAUAAUGAAGGUUUAAAGCCUUCAUGCUAAACACUACAAAAAUCACCUCAAAUAGUGGAGGUUAAAAAACUCCUCAAAUCGUGGAUGUUAAACUAAUGAAUGAUGAUUCAUUCCUAAAUAAAUACAUUUAAUACAAAUAUUGAUAAUAAAUGAAUAAAUAUAUUGAAAGAAUAAACUAAUAAAUACGAUGUUACUAUUAAAGACAUAUUACUAAUAUGUUAUUAUCUAGAAAACUAAUUAAUAUAUAUUACACAUAAUUUUCAUUAAUUUCUUAAAUAUAGGUAAUGGAUAGAAUAUAAAAAUAGUCAUAAUAAAUACUAAAUAGAUUUUGAUGAAAAAGAAAGGUUUGAGUUAGGUUUAUUUUAUAAAAUAAAUUAUGAAAAAAAUUUUUUUAGGAGGUUGAAUAAGUUAAAUGAUAGAAAGGUUUUUUAAUUAAAAAAAAUAAAUAAGAUACUACAUUGGUUGUUAAUUGAUGUUGCAAUGCAACUUUCAGUCAAUCAUCGGUUAUAUGACAGGUUUGGAUCCACCACUAUAUUUUUGCGGUCAAAAUAAAGAAAACAUUCUUUAAACCCACCUUUAAGGAAUAUGUUGUCUCACAUGAUAGGAUUUUGCUCCUACGUCUCCCUCUCAACAAUAGAGAAUCAAGACUACCUAGUUCUUUAGUAGAAAAUACUUUGUUGGUUGAUUUUAUAUUAUUUCUGAAUAGGAGAAGAUGUUUUAAUUUUAAUAUGGUGUCCAUACUUAAAUGACUAAAUUACAACCAUAAUGUAUGAUAUCGCAUUUCAUAUUAAGGAGGUAAAGCUUAACCAAAAUCAAUAUUUUUUAAUGUUUAAAGGUUUUUUAGAAAGGUGAUACACAAAGGAAGAGAUUAGCUGCAAAAAAAUUAAACGAUCCCAUUAGGAUUCUCUAGAACUUUUAUGUUACUCUCUCUUUUUUGGAAUAUUUUGAUGUGUUUUCCGGUUUUUUCACUUUGUCAUGAAUGCAAUACCUCUAUUUAUUGGAUGGAUUUCACAUAUGCAUAAAAUAAAAGUGAAUCACUUUCAUUAAUGCAUCGAAUCAAUUAAAACAUUUUAUUGGGUGUAAGAUUGUUUCUGAGAUAUCUAGAAAUAUCUCUUAAUAACUUUAUAAAGUCAUAGAAUAUUAUGGUGACACUCAUAUUAAUUCGGCUUUAAAAUUAAAAGUGUCCCAAAUGCUCUAUUUUGGGUAGAAAUUUCAUAACAAGUUCAAAAGGAAAUCACAAAUGUUCUUUUAUAAAAUGGGAUCUUUCCAUUAAUAGAUUAAUAAAUUCAUUAAGUCACUUAAAACCCUUUUUGAUUUUAUUUUAUAAAUAAAAUUAAAAUUGGUGAGAGAAAUUAAUUUGAAAUAAUAUCCUUGUGAAAAAAACUAAAAAUUGUAUCCAAAAAAUCUUGAAAUAGUAUCCCACCAUUAUUGAGUCAAAUAAGUGAUCUUUAAAUACCAUUUUUUAUUGUAAAGGAAAUCAAAAUGUUGGGAGGGAAGUUGACUUAGAUGUUGUAUCUAGUCAAUUUAUUCACAUUAAGUCAUUCAAACCCGUUUUUUAUAUGAGUGUAAAAUAUGAAUUUAUCCUCUUUACUUGUUGCUUACCAUAAAAGCGGGCAAAUUGAAGUUUGAAAGAUAUCAUGUCAGGUAACUAGUAAGGAAAUGAACACUAAUUUUGUCAAGGUUAAAAGAACUUACAUAUUCAAACUUCAGAUGCCUCGUAGUGAGGUUGAAACUAGUCAACGAUGCAGACUGAAAUACAGUAACCGUUAGUUUUAUGUAGUAGUUCGGGAAGCUUCUGGAAUAGAAAUCAUCAAUUUGGUGCGGCAGUUCUAGACUCUGCUGAAAGGGAAACCAUCAAUUUGGUGACAUAGUCUGAGAAUCUUCUGAAAAAUGAAACAAUCGAUUUGGUGAAGGAGUUUGAGAUUAUGUUGAAAGGGAAACCACCGAUUUGAUGAAGUAGUUUGAGAAUCUACUUAAAGGGAAACCAUCGAUUUGGUGAAGCAAUUAGAGAAUCUUCUAAAAGGGAAACCAUUGACUUGGUGAAGUUCAUCGAGAAUCUGCAGAAAUGGAAACCAUCAGUUUGGUUAAGUAGUACGAGAAUCUGCUAAAAGGGAAACAAUCGAUUUUGUGAAGCAUUUUGAGAAUAUUCUGAAAGGGUAACCAUGUAUUUGGUGAAGUAGUUUGAGAAUCUGUUGAAAAUGAACCAUCAAUUUGGUGAAGCAUUUUGAGAAUCUGUUGAAAUUAUAACUAUUGAUUUGGAGAAGCAGAUCGAUAAUCUAUUGAAAGGGAAACCAUCGAUCUAGUGAAGCAUAUCAAGAAUAUGCUAAAAGGGAAAGCAUUGAUUUUGUGAAGCAGAUCGAGAAUCUGGUGAAAGGGAAUCAUCAAUUUAGUGAACUGGUUCGAGAAUCUAGGAUAGAGAAACUAUCGAUUUGCUGAAAAAAAUUGAGAAUAUGGUGAAAGGGAAACCAACAGUUUGAUGAAGUAGUUUGAGAAUCUGCUGAAAAGGAAAUCGCUGAUUCGAAGAGUCAGAUCAGGAAUCUAUUGAAAUAAGGCUUACGGGCAUCUCAACAUCAGAGUGUGAACAUGAUGAUAAACGUACUUGAGAAAGGGAUGGCCCCACAUUGUCUAGGCCAAUUAUAUAUGUAGUUGGGAUGUGAAGAUGCAUGUAUUGAUGUUUGAUUAUUUGUGGAUAUGAAAUGACUUGAAUAUAAAUUUUCUGCUAUAUUUUGUAUGAGAUGAGUAUACAAUAAAGGGAAAGACUCGUACACAAAUAUUCUAAUGUAUCACUCUUGAUUUAUUUUUUCUUGGGAUGGAAUUCAUAAACCUUUGUGGAUUUGACUAAAGCAUCAAUUUAUGAUUGUUUUUAUUAGCAUGAUUGAAUGACAACUUGUCUUUCAUAAAAUUGCUUUAGUUUGCUUGAUGACACAUUUCCAUUAAGGUAAUUCAUACAAUGUGCCCUAGUGCCAUCUUGAAUGACUAAACUCAUAUAUAUUGCUCUAGCGUAGGUUGGCUGAGAGUUUCUUUCAAAUGUGUUUGAAUAAAAAAUUUAUCAUUGUGCCUAUUCUGAACUUUUGACUUCAACUUGGAGGCCAUUAUUCAGAUUCUCCAUAAAGAUGCCCCAUUUUGGGAAAUUAAGGAUAAGGGGUAGUAAGCCUUCACAUUGAGGUGCACAUUUAAUUUUCCUUAACUUUUAUCAAGAAUACCUAGUGUAUGAGCUUGUCGAGAAUUUUCUCAUUUAUUAUCAUCCUCAACCACCUUUUCAUUUUUUGACUUAUAAUCACUCUCCUUUUCCUAGGUUGCUCAUGUGGGUUGUCAACCUAGCACACUUUUUUUGUUUUUUGUUCUUUGAUUUUUACUUUUUACUUUAUUUAACACCGUCGACUUGGUGGCCUCAUUUGAUAGUAAGUAGAAGUCUUGUGUGGGUCAUUGUUGGAGUUGUUCUUCACAGUCAUAACAUAGUAUCAUUCACUUCUUGGUUGAUAGAUUAUCCAUUUUCUAUUAUUGGCAUGACUUAUAAGGCCAUGGGAAGCAACUCCGUACUGCCUCGUUUUUUGGCUUCUUGUAACUUUUCACUAGAAAAAUGGGAACACCCCAAAAAUAUGGCCCAACAUGGAUACAAGGAUUUAUCCUUCUAUUCAAAUUGUCCUGAAAUGAAAAAUUUGGAAGGACUUAGACAAUGAAUCAUCUCAAAAUAUGCCCUAGUUUGAAAGGUUUCCAUGUUUCUUUUACUUUAGAAGUCUUUAUUGUAUGCACAACUCUUUAAGAAUAAAUAUUAAAACAAUGAUCAUGCAAACUUGACAAGUGUUUGGAUUAUGCGUGGUGAUACGAUAAUGAUUAUAAAAUUUAAUUUUUGUUUAAGCUUUCUUAUAUGUAUUGUUCAAUUUGUAUGUGGUUGCGAGUUUUGAUAUGUUUAUGAUGAAUAUAAAACGGAACUUGUGUUUGGGCUUUGAAUUUUGUUGAUGAUGGUGAUGGUGAUGAUGAGAGAAUGGAAUGUUAAUCAUAUGCAUUAAGAUGAGAUUGUUAGAAAUUCAUAAUUUCUAAUUAAGGUGAACAUCAUAUAAUUAAUACAAUUAUAUUGGCUAUUUAUUUUGGUAUUCCAAAACAAGUGAUCUAAUUACUCACAACCUAUAAGACUUCUAAAACUGAUAAUGUAUAUGGCUUAAUGAGUGGAUACUGAAACGGUUGGCCUAUAUGUGAUAAUGUGAACCCUAUAAGUUAACGUAUAAGGAACGAUUAUGAUCUCCAAUGCACCAAAUCACAAAUAGUUUUCACCUCUCCCCAUCAGAGAGAAAAUGAAGGUCCCAAAAAAAAUUAAUGAUUUGGUUGAGGAAGCCCAUCAUACCAAAACUCUAUGAAAAUGUAUAUCAAAAAAGUAGAUUAGAGAACAUGGAUUUGGGUAUGACUUUGUAUCAUAGUUCUAUAUUAUGUGUGAGAAUCAUGAGAUUCAAGGUCCUAGGAUUGGUAUUUCACCAAUCAUUAGGAAAUAUAUGACAAGUGGUAUCAGAUCUUUAGGUUCUGAAUUUGUUAAUCAUAAAAGAUAUUAAAUCCGAAGGUUUUAAUUCCAAGAUCAUAAUUUAUUUUAUAAUGGACCUAUAUUGUUUUCCUUUUCUGUGGUAAUUAUUUUUGAAAUAAUUGGUGCAAUUGUUGUCAAAGUAACCUUUAUGGUGGAAAUUGAUAAAUAAUACAUAGAUGAGUAUGAGAUUAUUUAUGAGAAUUGUGUUUUGUCAAGUAAUAACAUACAUGUGAUGAUAAAUAAGUAACAAUUAUAAAGUUUUUUUCUUGUGAAUAAUAGUCGGUCCAAAGAAAGACUAUUGUUUGACAAAACUAAUUGUUAAUAUUUGAUCAUUACGUUUAGAGUACAACUUACAUAUUAUUUUCUCUGUCCAAAGACUAGAAAUUGAUGUUGUGCUAGGUAUCUUGUGAUGAGUCUAUUAUGUGAACAUGUCUUGUUUUAUAUGUAUUACCUGAUUUGUUUCUUUAAAUGGUUGCAACACUUACGGUUUGUUGUAUUAGUUGGUAGUUGAUUGCAUUAUUAAGGGGUUGCUAUUGUUGAAACACUAUUUCCAUUUGAACAUUGUGUCGUACUAUGUUUAGUCAUGUAUAAAAUGGUAAUAUAUUUUUAAUGGAAAAUUAAAAAGAACCAUCACUGGAAUUUGAAACGCAGAUCUUGGUGAUGGAAAUUAUGCAAUGCUACCAAUAGGCUAUAGUGUAUAUAUUAUAUAUAUGUGGAUAUAAAUAAUUCAUAUUUUGGAUUAAGUGAUGAAUCAAACUCAACUAAAUGGUUUUAAUGAAAUUGUUUGACAUUUUAAGUGAACAUAUUAAAUAAGAAUUCGCCAAAGUGACAUAUUUUCUAUGAAUUGUUCAUAAAUGUCAAAUACUAGUGUGAAUAAGUAUCUAUGCGAGUAUUAAUUGGCUCAAAUGAAGAUUAUUAUUUGGUCGAAUUAUAUACAUACAUAUGAUGGUAAACAUGUGACUAUUUUAAGGUUGAAAAUGGGACUGAUAAAUUAGUCUAGAGAAAGAUUUAUUAUUUUACAUGCAUUAUGAAUAAUGUUUGACCCUUACAAAAAUAUAUCAUUAGUGAUUGAUAUGAAAUAUCAAGCCAAAUGUAUGUUUGCAUUUUAUGUGAAUAGUGAUCGGCCCUAAGGAAUAUUAUUAUUUGGCCCAAAUUACAAACAUACUUGUAGUAUUAAUAUGUGAUAAUUAUAUGCCUUUGCAUGUGAAUAGUAAGUCAAUCCAAAGAAUAGCUUAUUGUUUGAUAUGACUGAUUAACAAUGUUUGAUUACUAUAUUGAGUGUACCACUUAUAAGUUAAUAUUUUUAUCCAAAGACUAAAUAUUAAUGUUGUGUUAGGUAACUCAUGAUGUGCCCCACCAUCAUUUGAAUUUAGGUUUUAAAGUUGAAUGUGAGUUUAAUUGCAAGAAUGGUUGCAAGAAUGAUUGCAAUUUGUUUUGUUCUUUUACUAGUGCUACAAAUAGUUUUGUUCAAAUUGAGAAUAUCUCAUUGUUGAACGGGACACACAUUAAGGUCUAUAAGAAAGCCGUGGAAAUUAUUCUCGGCUAUAUGGAUUUAGAUCUGGUACUUCAAGUGGAGAAAUCCAUUUCGACUCUGUAAAUCCUCGAUGAGGUUAAAAUUGAGAAAUUUGGAUGCUCUUAUUGUAUGUGUCUAAUGAUCAUGAAACACUAUAUUCUAGAAGUGUUUCAUAAUUCUAUUUUUGAGGGUCAGAGUGCAAGGAAGUUCCUUCAAGAAAUAGAACCAUACUUUUGCAAAAAUGAGAAGGCGGAGACUAGUAGCUUUUUUGGGUGAAAUCAUCUCCAUGAAGUAUAAAAGCAUAUGGAACAUAAGGAAGUACAUUAUGGAGAUGCCUAAUCUUGCAUCAAAACUCAAGUCACUUAAGUUAGAGCUGGUUGAUGACUUGCUCGUGCACUUGGUUUUGAUCUCGCUUCCUGCACACUUUGGGAUAUUCAAAGUGAGCUAUAACACUCAAAAGGACAAAUGGUGUCUCAAUGAGUUUAUAUAUCAUUGUGUCCAAGAGAAAGAGAGGUUCUAGAGAGAUAAGACUGAAAGUGCUCAAUUGGCUAUGACCACUCAGAAUAAGACAAGAAUGAACAAUACGGAUGUUGUGAAAGGGUUAUUUGUGUUUUUCGUCAGAGAUUGUGGAUUUGUUCCGCAAUACACUAUGCCAGACAAACCUAAAAUAAAAGGUGUUGUUGGCCGACGAAAAGAAACUCUUAAGGAUAUGGUGAGAAUUAUGCUUAGUCAUUCUUCCUCACUAGAGUCUCUUUGGAGGGAAAAAACCGUUAAUAAGACCAAGCUUAAAACAUUGCACAUUUGGGGUUGUUCAGUUGAGGAAGGCCUUAUAGGCCACAGGAAAGGAAACUCGACUCAAGAACAGUUAGAUGUUAUUUUGUUGGCAAUGUUGAGCGCUCUCGGGGCUAUAAAUUUUACGAUCCUACUUCAAGACAUUUUUUUUUUGGACGGGAAAUGCAAGAUUUCUUGAGGAAGUUGAUUUUGGGAAGGAAGAGAACAUAAGGAAUUUUAUCUUUGAGGAAGAACAUGUCACUAGUAGUGAACAAAUUCUUGUGUCUAUUACCAUUCAAGGAACAACUUCGGUAAUAGAAGAUAAUGUUUAGGAUAUUGUUCCUGACAAUAUUCUAGAACAAGACAACAAUGAGGUUCUCUCUCAAGUACUUAAAGAAAAAAUUCAACAACCUCAAGAAGUAGGGGUGCCAUUAAGCAUAUCCACUAGAGAGAGAGGAUGUGCAAUUCCUGAUGAUUAUAUUGUAUUUCUUCAAGAAUAUGAGGAUGACAUCAGGAUAACAUAAGAUGAUUCAUUGAAAAAAUGUCAAGACAUGAAAAGUUCUAACUCUCAAAAGUGGAUCAAUGUCAUGAAGAAUGAGAUGAAGUCUAUGCAUGAUAAUAACGUUUGGGAUAUUGUCGAAUUAACUGAAGUUGCGAAACCUAUUGAUAGGACAAAUUGCAAGUGGACGGUUAUAUCGUCAAGUAAUAAAAUAUCGAUCCCACGAGGACUAGAAAAUACUUUAAUUAUAACAAUUAAUUUAUAUGUAACUCAAAGCAAAAUUAUAAGUGAAUUUAGAAAAAUUGAACAUUUGACAAGAAUAAUUAUGAAAAUAUUAAAAAGGAUUGAAAUCUAAUUUAGGAAGAGUUCCAAGGAUAAGGGUUUACCCCUUUACACUCNNNNNNNNNNNNNNNNNNNNNNNNNNNNNNNNNNNNNNNNNNNNNNNNNNNNNNNNNNNNNNNNNNNNNNNNNNNNNNNNNNNNNNNNNNNNNNNNNNNNUAAAUUACAUAACAACAUAUAGAUUGAUGAAGGGCAUUGCAUGUAAAACUUUCAAGGUAGAUUUUUUUAUUAAUAAUAGUACAUAGGUAAAACUCUAGUUUUAUUAAUAUAUCGUGGCUCACUAUGAGCUCUUACAUGAUAGUAGAUAGCAGCUUAGUAAAGAGUGAUCUAAAUGGAAAAGAUAAGACCCCUUCUUCCACGCCUUCCCUCCUUCUCCCUUUGCUGUUGCUGCUGAGGUUGAGCAUUUGCAAAGUAAGAUUGUUGUUGGUUCUUAAUUAAUCUCUCAACAUCUUCAACAGAACCAGGGAAUGUAAGCUGCUUCACUUCUUUAUCUAACUGUCUUAUCACAUUGUCUUCAGAACCUUUCAAUUUUCAAUAAUUUNNNCAAUAAUUUCCAAACAUAACAAUAUGAGUUAGUAACGCCAAAACCAAAGUCAUAAAGCAAAUAUUAUAAUUUACAAUUAGGUAUUUGUGCCAAAAGUUUAAUUUGUUGCCACAUUGGCUUCGUCCAAAGAUAUAGUUGGUGAUUUGGCGAUCAAUUUUAUAACUGUGUAUCUACCUUUUAAAUAGCAUGUUUAGAUUAAAUUAAAAUAUAUUUAAUUAUAAACUUUGAAGUUGAAUAAUGUUUAUGGUACCUGCAAGGAAAUUCCUCUGGUUUUCAUCAGCAUUGAUGCCAUAUCCAAGCAAGCGAAGANNNNNNNNNNNNNNNNNNNNNNNNNNNNNNNNNNNNNNNNNNNNNNNNNNNNNNNNNNNNNNNNNNNNNNNNNNNNNNNNNNNNNNNNNNNNNNNNNNNNAAGCGUUGAUGGAAAUUGGAUGACCUGCUGGAAUUACGAAAAUGUCACCUUCUGAUAAUUUAGCAUUGUACCUUCUCACUUCUUCCUGUUCUUGCUCAUCUUGUUGUCGUUCUUGAUCUCUUAUACCCACCAGUUCAUAAUUUCCUUCUCCUUCAUCAACCACGACUACAAAUAUGGCCUUUGAGUUAUAGUGUGGUAACAACAAACCUCCCUAACAUAAAAAAAUCAAAUCAUUAGUAAUAGUAUUGUUGUCUAAGACACAACACCAGUGAAUAAGUUCAAGGAAUUGUGUGUAUUGUUAUUUGGGGUUGGAUGUAAAUAAUGUACCUCGUUAAUUUCUAUGAAGGUGAGAGAGAUAUCCAAAUCCUGAGCUUGAGGGUUUCUGUCUGGGGUGAUCUCGUAGAAGUUGCCAAACUUGUUUGAAUAAAUGGGUUCAUCGCUUCUCAAGUUGAAGGGGCCAGAUUCAGAUGGUUUGCCUUUUCCUGAUGAUGAUUGAGCAUGUUUUCUCAAUUCUUGGAUCUGUUCCUUUGACACUCUCACUAUCACCCCCUCAUCUUGGUGGCUCUGCUCUUGUCCACGACUUUGCUCCUCAUCUUCCUGCCCGUCCUCAUUUCCUAAAAUAAUCCUUUGUAUCUCUUCAUAACGGGUCUAUAUUUGAAAUCCAAACAAACAAAUAUGUGAUCAUUAGUACAUAUACUCAAUAAAUAAUUGUGCAACCAACGCAGAUCAGAUGUCAUACAUUGAAGGUGGCCUCUAAAGUGUUCCUACUGAAGCCGUUGAAGUAAGACUGUUGGUCUUUAGUACUUGAUGGAUAGAAAUCCUAUAAAUAUACAAAUAUAGAGAGAAAGGAGGAAGAAAUUAAAAUUACAUGGUGUUAAAUAUGCAAUGGGUGCAUAGAAAAUUAGAUGAUAUAAACAUAAAAGAUAAUAUGAUUGNNNNNNNNNNNNNNNNNNNNNNNNNNNNNNNNNNNNNNNNNNNNNNNNNNNNNNNNNNNNNNNNNNNNNNNNNNNNNNNNNNNNNNNNNNNNNNNNNNNNCUUGUUCUCUUUCCUGAGGCCUCUCAUGAUUCUUUAUUGCAUUUUUUUCUCCGUAAGCAAUACCGAUUGACACUGCCAUGAGGAAUACUAUUCCUAGUAGCAACACUAACGUUGGAAACUUCACUCUCAUAUUAGCCAUAUUUUAUUAUAUUAGAUUGCACUCGAUGAUGAAAAUGGGGACUAAGAUCACUCAUAUUUAUAGAUCAUUUUCAUAAGAAAUGGUGCCAUGCAUGUUGACGAGUGUUCAUAUUGACAAAU